CAUCAGUCUUUUACCAAUGUUAUUUCAACUGAUCGGGCGGAGAUUAUAUUUCAAUUUGCAUAAGGACAAUAUAUUUGAAGAUGUGUGUGAUAAGCCGUUAUAAUUGUCAUUUCUAAUCACCUUUCAGUGUCAUCAAACGAAUUUUACCAAAAAAUGACUCAACACUUCAUUGACGAGUUUACCCCCAAUACACCUAUCUAUUGAGACAAGCGAACCGGUUAAACCCCGCCCAGUCAAGUCAAGUAAAUCAAGUUAUAAGUUACAAAAAAAUACCUUCUUUUACUGUACGGGAUCACAUGCUUUAUAGUUAGUGCUCACUUUGCAGAUGAGCUUAGGUUAAAGUUUGUUUUGUCAGAGGAUCGUUUUCAUGAUAAGGGCUAGGGAAAAAGUAUGGGUGAGUUGAGUAUAAAGUCCUAUACAAAUGUACAUGGUAUUGAUC
rnacentral:lncRNA from 1 species